AUGGCGGAGGCGGGAAAGCCGAGGGUGGUGGUGGUAGGCGGCGGCAUCGGCGGCGCCCUGCUCGCCAAGACCAUGGAGCCCGACGCCGACGUCGUCCUCCUCGACCCGAAGGACUACCUGGAGGUCACCUGGGCUGAAUUGAGAUCAACGGUUGAACCAUCUUUUGCUGAGAGAUCAUUAAUAUAUCACAGAGAUUACCUCACCACUGCUACUAUUGUAACAUCUUCUGCAGUUAAUAUCACUGAGCAUGCUGUUCUGACUGCUGAUGGUCAAUCACUUGCAUAUGAUUAUCUCGUUGUAGCUACUGGCCAUGUUUUUGCUUCUGCUGGAAGCAGAACAGAGAGGCUUACGGAAUUCCAGAGAGAUAACGAGAAGAUAAAAUCUUCUGAGUCCGUGUUGAUAAUUGGAGGUGGUCCAACUGGUGUUGAACUUGCUGCAGAGAUCGCAGUAGACUAUCCAGAGAAGAAGGUGACACUUGUUCACAGAGGAUCACGAUUACUUGAUUUCAUUGAUCAAAAGGCUUCGAAGAAGUGCCUUGAUUGGCUGACUUCCAAGAAAGUGGAUGUGCUUUUCCAGCAAUCAGUUGACCUAAAAUCAUUAUCAGACACAGAGAAGUUCUACAAAACAUCAGCUGGAGAAACAAUAACAGCUGAUUGCCACUUUGUGUGUAUUGGUAAGCCACUGAGUUCAUCGUGGCUACAUGAUACCAUCCUGAAGGAAUCUUUGGACACCAAAGGAAGAGUAAUGGUGGAAAAGGACCUAAGAGUGAAGGGUUACAAUAACAUUUUUGCAAUUGGUGACAUCACCGAUAUUCCUGAAAUCAAACAAGGGUACCUCGCCCAGAAGCACGCGCUGCUGGUAGCCAAGAACCUGAAGCUACUGAUCAAGGGGUCGCCUCCGAGCAAGCUCGCCACCUACAGCACCGGCUUCCCGCUGGCGAUCGUCUCCCUCGGAAGGAAGGACGGACUGGCACAGCUACCCUACCUGACGCUCACCGGGUGCAUACCGGGGAUGCUCAAAUCCAAGGACCUGUUCGUCGGCAAGACGAGGAAGCAGAUGGGCCUGAGUGCUUGA
rnacentral:rRNA from 1 species